rnacentral:rRNA from 1 species
GUAUGAACGCUAGCUACAGGCUUAACACAUGCAAGUCGAGGGGCAGCAUGGUCUUAGCUUGCUAAGGCCGAUGGCGACCGGCGCACGGGUGAGUAACACGUAUCCAACCUGCCGUCUACUCUUGGACAGCCUUCUGAAAGGAAGAUUAAUACAAGAUGGCAUCAUGAGUCCGCAUGUUCACAUGAUUAAAGGUAUUCCGGUAGACGAUGGGGAUGCGUUCCAUUAGAUAGUAGGCGGGGUAACGGCCCACCUAGUCUUCGAUGGAUAGGGGUUCUGAGAGGAAGGUCCCCCACAUUGGAACUGAGACACGGUCCAAACUCCUACGGGAGGCAGCAGUGAGGAAUAUUGGUCAAUGGGCGAGAGCCUGAACCAGCCAAGUAGCGUGAAGGAUGACUGCCCUAUGGGUUGUAAACUUCUUUUAUAAAGGAAUAAAGUCGGGUAUGGAUACCCGUUUGCAUGUACUUUAUGAAUAAGGAUCGGCUAACUCCGUGCCAGCAGCCGCGGUAAUACGGAGGAUCCGAGCGUUAUCCGGAUUUAUUGGGUUUAAAGGGAGCGUAGAUGGAUGUUUAAGUCAGUUGUGAAAGUUUGCGGCUCAACCGUAAAAUUGCAGUUGAUACUGGAUAUCUUGAGUGCAGUUGAGGCAGGCGGAAUUCGUGGUGUAGCGGUGAAAUGCUUAGAUAUCACGAAGAACUCCGAUUGCGAAGGCAGCCUGCUAAGCUGCAACUGACAUUGAGGCUCGAAAGUGUGGGUAUCAAACAGGAUUAGAUACCCUGGUAGUCCACACGGUAAACGAUGAAUACUCGCUGUUUGCGAUAUACUGCAAGCGGCCAAGCGAAAGCGUUAAGUAUUCCACCUGGGGAGUACGCCGGCAACGGUGAAACUCAAAGGAAUUGACGGGGGCCCGCACAAGCGGAGGAACAUGUGGUUUAAUUCGAUGAUACGCGAGGAACCUUACCCGGGCUUAAAUUGCAGAUGAAUUACGGUGAAAGCCGUAAGCCGCAAGGCAUCUGUGAAGGUGCUGCAUGGUUGUCGUCAGCUCGUGCCGUGAGGUGUCGGCUUAAGUGCCAUAACGAGCGCAACCCUUGUUGUCAGUUACUAACAGGUUCCGCUGAGGACUCUGACAAGACUGCCAUCGUAAGAUGUGAGGAAGGUGGGGAUGACGUCAAAUCAGCACGGCCCUUACGUCCGGGGCUACACACGUGUUACAAUGGGGGGUACAGAGGGCCGCUACCACGCGAGUGGAUGCCAAUCCCCAAAACCUCUCUCAGUUCGGACUGGAGUCUGCAACCCGACUCCACGAAGCUGGAUUCGCUAGUAAUCGCGCAUCAGCCACGGCGCGGUGAAUACGUUCCCGGGCCUUGUACACACCGCCCGUCAAGCCAUGGGAGCCGGGGGUACCUGAAGUGCGUAACCGCGAGGAGCGCCCUAGGGUAAAA